AAGUUCUAUUUAUAUUGGACUAAAAUUAAUAACUCUUAUGAAUCCAGAGGACAAAUAGGAAGUAGACACAGAAAACCAGUGAUGAAUCCCUGAUGCUGUACUUUGAAAACCUUAGGGUAUAAACACUGAAGUCCCAGAGAAAAAUCUGAGAUGGUUGCUCUGGUCCUUACUUUGAGUGUCACUUCCUGGCUCCAAUGCCGAUCCCUCAGUCUGCUGGCACAGAUCCUUCAUCCCACCGGCACAGACUUUCUAGCUUCCAUCACUGAUAUUUGGGCCUCCCCGGUGCAGGACUCCAGGGAAGAAGACUUUCUCCCACAUGCCCAUGUCUUGGUGAAGAGCCAACACACUUAUAUAAACAGCUCCUGUUGCUGAUCUUCAGGUAAUGCAUAAAAUCAAAAGAGAAUAACUUUUAUUCAAUUUAUAUGCAUUGAAUCUUCAAAGAU
rnacentral:lncRNA from 1 species